GCGUUGCAUACAACUGUGUGAACUUAGGGAAAUAAUAUAAAUGAAUUUCUUUAUUAUUCUUCUGUGGUGGUUUAGAUUCCAGUUGUGCCCAAGAUGCCUACUGUUUAACUGCCUUUGCCGAAGAUAAAUAAGAGCCUUCAACCCUUACUUCAGUGCCGGUUCCACGGGACACUCGUGGGAGGCUUUGCAGUUUGCAAACUGACAUUAGCUCUGCAAUUUCAGAAAAAGGCCUCCCGAGGCAAGUUACAAAGAUCUCAGCACAGAGCCCCAGAAACGUCCUGCACCGAGUGGUAUCAUGCACACCCGGCCUGCCCACACAGAUUUUGCCAUGCACAGAAGGCACUGCCAACCUUUAGGAAGAUGAACCAAAGAGGAGCAUG
ensembl:lincRNA uncharacterized LOC102028763